GGGUAGGGAGAGAGAGAUGAUGGGAGAGAGAGGGAGGGAUACCGGGAGGAAGGAGCAGGGAGAGAGAGAUGAUGGGAGAGAGAGGGAGGGAUACCGGGAGGAAGGAGCAGGGAGAGAGAGGUGAUGGGAGAGAGAGGGAGGGAUACCGGGAGGAAGGAGCAGGGAGAGAGAGGUGAUGGGAGAGAGAGGGAGGGAUACCGGGAGGAAGGAGCAGGGAGAGAGAGAUGAUGGGAGAGAGAGGGAGGGAUACCGGGAGGAAGGGGCAGGGAGAGAGAGGUGAUGGGAGAGAGAGGGAGGGAUACCGGGAGGAAGGAGCAGGGAGAGAGAAGGCAGAAGAAAGAGAGGGAGGGAUACAGAGAGAGAGAGGGAGCGAGAGAAAUACAGGGAGAGAGAGGGAGAUACAGGGAGAGAUACAGGGAGAGAUACAGGGAGAGAUACAGGGAGAAAGGGGCAGGGAGAGAAAAGGGCAGGGAGAGA
ensembl:lncRNA